UACAGAGGGGGCAAGCGUUGUUCGGAAUUACUGGGCGUAAAGGGCGCGUAGGCGGCCUGUUAAGUCGAACGUGAAAUCCCCGGGCUCAACCCGGGAACAGCAUUUGAUACUGGCAGACUCGAGGAUGGUAGGGGUGAGUGGAACUCCAGGUGGAGCGGUGAAAUGCGUAGAUAUCUGGAGGAACACCGGUGGCGAAAGCGGCUCACUGGACCAUAACUGACGCUGAGGUGCGAAAGCUAGGGUAGCAAACGGG
rnacentral:rRNA from 1 species